GAAUACACUCCGAAUUGAGUAAGUGCCAAGCAAAAUAGGUGAAAGAUGAAUCGCCCCAGAGAGUGAAAACCCGGUCUAAUAGCUAGCCCAACUUCCUUGUAUCUGAAAACGAUGACAGGAUGUUAGGGGAGACUUUUUGGAUAAUUGACUUCCACACUCAUCAUUGGCUCUUUCCAAAACUCACUGUUAUUCACUCAUUCAACCUUUCUCUUCUUCUCUGUGGUUCACAUUCUUGAUCAAGUUCUAUCACCUCAAUUUACACACAAUAAGGCAAAACAUGCUGGUUCGUUGGGUUCCACCGUCUGAAGGAGCCAUCAAACUCAAUGUGGAUGGAAGUUCAAGAGGAAACCCAAGAAGAGCGGGAUGUGGCGGCUUGCUCAGAGAUCAAAAUGGCAACUGUAUUGCCGGAUUUGUUAGCUAUAUUGGCUUUGCCGGCAGUGUUGAAGCCGAACUAAUAGCUAUUCGGCAUGGUUUGCGGUUGGCAUGGCAGUAAAGGUGGAAUGUGAAAAUGAUUGCAUAGUGGCUCACUACUGGCUCUGAAUAUUAUUCAUGACAAUGCCGAAGACUUUCCAGAAUUCGCACACAUUGUUGAAGAAAUUCAUCCGUUCAUGCUUCUUGAGUGGGACGUCACUAUCUAUCAUAUCAUGAGGGAAGGAAAU